rnacentral:rRNA from 1 species
AUUAAACGCUGGCGGCAUGCCUUACACAUGCAAGUCGAACGGUAGCGGGCCUUCGGGUGCCGACGAGUGGCGAACGGGUGAGUAAUGUAUCGGAACGUACCUUUAAGUGGGGGCUAACGUAGCGAAAGUUGCGCUAAUACCGCAUAUUCUGUGAGCAGGAAAGCAGGGGAUCGCAAGACCUUGCGCUGAUUGAGCGGCCGAUAUCAGAUUAGCUAGUUGGUGAGGUAAAGGCACACGAAGGCGACGAUCUGUAGCGGGUCUGAGAGGAUGAGCCGCCACACUGGAACUGAGACACGGUCCAGACUCCUACGGGAGGCAGCAGUGGGGAAUUUUGGACAAUGGGGGCAACCCUGAUCCAGCCAUGCCGCGUGAGUGAAGAAGGCCUUCGGGUUGUAAAGCUCUUUCGGCCGGGAAGAAAUCGUAUCAGCUAAUACCUGGUGCGGAUGACGGUACCGGCAUAAGAAGCACCGGCUAACUACGUGCCAGCAGCCGCAGUAACAC